rnacentral:lncRNA from 1 species
UUCGUGCGAGCAGCCAUUUUCCUUCGACAGAGGUGGGCAACCGGGUUUUCGUUAGAACGUGGGUCUCACGAACCUGAUGCCGUAGGUUCAAGUCCUUUGAUAUCUUAGAGCGUAUAAUCGCGGAUCAGCAUGACGUGAAGAGUUAGAUCGUGGAAAGGUGAAUACGCAAGAUUGAGAUUAUCGCGUACCUCCUUUCUUAAGCCCGGGGCUAGGAGCCAUGGGUUGAGAUCUUGGUUAGAAAGCGUAUCCCGAUCGAUGAAAGUCUGAUCAUCGCGAAUCCAUGGGAGAUUAGAUCGUGACGCACAUACAUAAGUAAAAGAUCCCGACCGGGAGUUGGGGUUCGGUUCUUGUUGGCCAGCCUCGAGAGCAUAUAGAUAGUAGGCAAGGUAGCAAGACAUCUGAAGAGAAAGAGGAAUUAUGAAUAUAGUUUACUACAUCCGUAAGUACGGGCAUAAGAGAAUAAAGAGCCGCAUCGUGCCAAAUCAGGCAUCCAAGGAUAAAGGCAACGAGAAUACUGUAAAUAGACCCCUCACCAGGAGUUCCUCUUCGGUAGGAAUGGGUCUACAAAUGCUCCCUGGGAGAGAUCUACUGAGGACUAGUGGAUUUCGCUUACUUUGGUCUUCCAGACGAUUUUAAAAACCUAUACCACCAAUCCCAAUUGUCUUCUAUCGUUCGUAUCCCUCUCACAUUCGUUCGAGCGGCUUCGCUCCUCUCCCCUCGACCAAGUUGCUAAGCAUCUCUAUAUGGUAGUUGACUAUAUA